rnacentral:rRNA from 1 species
AAUAGUGGACGAUGGGCGAAAGCCUGAUCCAGCCAUGCCGCGUGUGGGAAGAAGGUCUUCGGAUUGUAAAGCACUUUAAGUGGGGAGGAAGGGAAGUAAGUUAAUACCUUGCAGUUUGGACGUUACCGAGGGAAUAAGCAUCGGCUAACUGCGUGCCAGCAGCCGCGGUCAUACGAAGGGUGCAAGCGUUAAUCGGAAUUACUGGGCGUAAAGCGCGCGUAGGUGGUUCGUUAAGUUGGAUGUGAAAGCCCCGGGCUCAACCUGGGAACUGCAUCCAAAACUGGCGAGCUAGAGUACGGUAGAGGAUGGUGGAAUUUCCUGUGUAGCGGUGAAAUGCGUAGAUAUAGGAAGGAACACCAGUGGCGAAGGCGACCACCUGGACUGAUACUGACACUGAGGUGCGAAAGCGUGGGGAGCAAACAGG